rnacentral:rRNA from 1 species
UGAGCAAUCUGCCCUUCUCAUCGGAAUAAGCGUUGGAAACGACGUCUAAUGCCGAAUACGACCUCCUUUCGCAUGAUCGGAGGUGGAAAGCUCCGGCGGAGAAGGAUGAGCUCGCGGCCUAUCAGCUAGUUGGUGUGGGUAAUGGCCCACAAGGCGACGACGGGUAGCCCGCCUGAGAGGGUGACCCGGCCACACGUGGGACUGAGACACCGGCCCAGACCUCCGUACGGGAGCAG